UACGUAGGGGGCAAGCGUUGUCCGGAUUUAUUGGGCGUAAAGAGCGUGUAGGCGGUCCGGUAAGUCAGCUGUGAAAGUCAAGGGCUCAACCCUUGAAAGCCGGUUGAUACUGUCGGGCUAGAGUCCGGAAGAGGCGAGUGGAAUUCCCGGUGUAGCGGUGAAAUGCGCAGAUAUCGGGAGGAACACCAAUGGCGAAGGCAGCUCGCUGGGACGGUACUGACGCUGAGACGCGAAAGCGUGGGGAGCAAACA
rnacentral:rRNA from 1 species